UCGUCCUUCUUCUCUCCCUCUCCCGUUUCUCCUUCCCAACCUAGGGUUGCCGCCGCCGCACCUUUAGCACUGGCUACCGGAGGAUGGCUAGCUUAUACGCUGACUUUUCUCUCACCACGUUCAAUCCCGACCAGCGCCGCUGCCGCUCCUUUAAACUAGAUUUGCUGGGCAUUAACCUCGAUCACAUCUUCUUGCUGUUAAAAAAACUUAUAAAGCUAUGGCCGCGGGUUAUUUCUUUGCAUUCUUGGAUUGCAUCUCUUUGUACCUCUACACUACUAUACUUUAGGACCAACAUGUCGAAUUGCAUUUCUUUUGUUUUCCAAGUUGCCGCCACAAUAACCUCUGCACAAAAUGAGGUAUGAUCUCACGAGAUUAAUACCUACAAUAUCGACUUGAUCUUGCUUCCAUCAUGCCAUAUGUCACAUUCUGUUAUUUAUGGAUAUUGCACUGUCUAUUCUUACAUCAUGGAUGUUAUUCAUGCACAUUAGGUUCUUAGUAAUUGAUGAUUUUGCUUGGUUUGCACCAUCUAUUCUAUUUUAUAUAAGCCAUGUAUUUUAUACCGGUCCUUUUUCUCAUUUUGUUCUGCUGCAAUAAUCUUUUCAGUUAGCCUCACAUAAGCCUAUGAUUUCUAUCUACAAUAUGCGCAGUAAUUCUCCGUUUUGCCGAGGUGAACCACCAUCCACCCAGACAUGGAUUACCUGCCCAUCAAGUUUGGAAGCGGGAGCUAGAUAAAUCAUCCUUGUCUCACGUACAUCGUCUCAAAGAAUUGUUUCAAUAUAGCAGAAAGAGGCCAUCACGUGGAUAUGAAUUAAGUUAGUCCCAGAGUGCCAAGAUUAGAGAUGGAAUUUACUUUGCACGGAUGUCAUGAGAUAAAGGAGGCAGUGGACGGGAGAGAUUCAACCGGAGUUGCCACAGUACUGGUAGAUUGCAGGAAGCACUACAUGUAGAUAUGUAUGCUUCUGCUUGGUACAUGUGAACAGGGAGACAAGGAACGGAAGUUGCAGCGGUAGUCGGCUGGUGGCCACACAUUGGCAACCACUGCUUAGAUACGUGACUCCAGCCACCCAUGG